UUUAAUUAAUUUUGGACCUCCGGGUAAAAAAAAAUUCAGUUGGACCCUACUAUAAAUAACUAUAUGGGCCUAGGACCAAACAAGAAAUUUUCCUUCCACAAUAUCCACCAGCAAUCAACAAAACAAAAUUCACAUUUCAAAAGAAAUCAACCAAAAAUAAUAACCGAAAUAAUGAAGAGAAAUUGAAUCGAUAAAUGAAGAAAUUAGGGCAUUAAUAAUACCAGAAGGAGAAUGAUAACCGUGAGCAGUACUUCUGUCAAGUCCUUGUGAAAUCCUUCUAACAGCAACAAAUGAUCCACCUCUAUCAUCCAUUUUCCAAUCUCUCUUUCCCAAUCUUCUUCUUCCCUAAACCAUUUUUUCUUCAAAUCCAAUCAACAAAAACAAAAUCCCAAUUCCUCCUCCUUCGUCUUCUUCUACAAAUGAAAAUGUAGAAGAAUCCGAAGCUUCUCUGAAUCUGAUUUCUUCUUCUUCGACGACAAAGAAUUGAAAAGAUUUAAGGAAAUUAAAAUCGGUGCCUAGGGUUUUGAGAUUGUGGGAAGAUCUGGGAGAAAGAGAGAUUCUUCUCCAUCUCUAGAAAUACCUCUGUGUGUCUCUAGAAAGAAAAUAAAGGGCAAUGACGACUAAAUAGUGACAGCACAGCAGAUGCCGAAGAAAUGGGUUUUACUUUUUUUAUUUCUGGAAAUUUGUUUGUUGGUUUUUACCCAAUCGUCAUCAUGAUGGUGAUGAUACUUAUCUCUAAUUCCGUUCAGGACCUACUGUUAGAUUCCAAGGCUAUACAAUUCCGAGUUUCCGGACACGUCGGACUUCCGCUCAGGUCGAGGCUGCCACUCGGCACUAAAACAGAUCAAAGAGGUUUUGAAUAUGAGACAUAGUGAUUUAACGGUUUAGAAGUCCGUUUGAGCGGCAAGGCAUUUCACAAAGUUAUGUUUGAUGGCACUAUUUUUUUAACUAACAUUUUAUGUUACCAGUUUCUCUAAGCAUUUUGUUCGUGGAAUAUGUUCGAAUAUUUUUAAUCUAAGAGCAUUUUUAAUUUAGCAUCAACAAAAUUAUUGAUAUUGAAACUGAAUUUUGGACUUUUGUAGCUAUUAUAAGUUUUUUUUUCCUGAGGAAUGGUCGAAUUCAAAGAAGAAGAAAAAAUGAGCAUAAAGAAGAUGAUAAGUCUGGCUUAUGUUUGGUGAAGUUGUAAAAAAACGGUGGGUGUUGAUAUUAGUGAUCUUUCUUUGAGUUCGUGUAGUUGCUAAUGUAAAUUUACGAGCAUUUAUACAACAUUUUUUCCUCCC